UACGUAGGGGGCAAGCGUUGUCCGGAAUCAUUGGGCGUAAAGAGCGUGUAGGCGGCCCGAUAAGUCCGCUGUGAAAGUCCAGGGCUCAACCCUGGGAUGCCGGUGGAUACUGUCGGGCUCGAGUCCGGAAGAGGCGAGUGGAAUUCCUGGUGUAGCGGUGAAAUGCGCAGAUAUCAGGAGGAACACCAAUGGCGAAGGCAGCUCGCUGGGACGUGACUGACGCUGAGACGCGAAAGCGUGGGGAGCGAACAGG
rnacentral:rRNA from 1 species